rnacentral:rRNA from 1 species
AACGAACGCUGGCGGCAUGCCUAACACAUGCAAGUCGAACGAGACCUUCGGGUCUAGUGGCGCACGGGUGCGUAACGCGUGGGAACCUGCCCUUAGGUUCGGAAUAACUCCCCGAAAGGGGUGCUAAUACCGGAUAAUGUCUUCGGACCAAAGAUUUAUCGCCUUUGGAUGGGCCCGCGUUGGAUUAGCUAGUUGGUAGGGUAAAAGCCUACCAAGGCGACGAUCCAUAGUUGGUCUGAGAGGAUGAUCAGCCACACUGGGACUGAGACACGGCCCAGACUCCUACGGGAGGCAGCAGUGGGGAAUAUUGGACAAUGGGCGAAAGCCUGAUCCAGCAAUGCCGCGUGAGUGAUGAAGGCCUUAGGGUUGUAAAGCUCUUUUACCCGGGAUGAUAAUGACAGUACCGGGAGAAUAAGCACCGGCUAACUCCGUG